rnacentral:rRNA from 1 species
GACGAACGCUGGCGGCGUGCUUAACACAUGCAAGUCGAACGGUAAGGCCCUUCGGGGUACACGAGUGGCGGACGGGUGAGUAACACGUGGGUGAUCUGCCCUGCACUUCGGGAUAAGCCUGGGAAACUGGGGCUAAUACCGGAUAGGACCACUGCCUGCAUGGGUGGUGGUGGAAAGCUUUUGCGGUGUGGGAUGGGCCCGCGGCCUAUCAGCUUGUUGGUGGGGUGAUGGCCUACCAAGGCGACGACGGGUAGCCGGCCUGAGAGGGUGACCGGCCACACUGGGACUGAGAUACGGCCCAGACGCCUACGGGAGGCAGCAGUAGGGAAUUUUCCACAAUGGGCGAAAGCCUGAUGGAGCAACGCCGCGUGCAGGAUGAAUGCUUUCGAGUUGUAAACUGCUUUUAUAUAUGACGAUUAUGACGGUAGCAUAUGAAUAAGGAUCGGCUAACUCCGUGCCAGCAGCCGCGGUAAUAC